UUGAACGCUGGCGGAAUGCUUUACACAUGCAAGUCGAGCGGCAGCGCGGGGGCAACCCUGGCGGCGAGCGGCGAACGGGUGAGUAAUAUAUCGGAACGUGCCCAAUCGUGGGGGAUAACGCAGCGAAAGUUGUGCUAAUACCGCAUAAGAUCUACGGAUGAAAGCGGGGGAUCGCAAGACCUCGCGCGAGUGGAGCGGCCGAUAUCAGAUUAGCUAGUUGGUGGGGUAAAGGCCCACCAAGGCGACGAUCUGUAGCUGGUCUGAGAGGACGACCAGCCACACUGGGACUGAGACACGGCCCAGACUCCUACGGGAGGCAGCAGUGGGGAAUUUUGGACAAUGGGCGCAAGCCUGAUCCAGCAAUGCCGCGUGCAGGAUGAAGGCCUUCGGGUUGUAAACUGCUUUUGUACGGAGCGAAAAGGUCUGCCCUAAUACGGUGGGCUCAUGACGGUACCGUAAGAAUAAGCACCGGCUAACUACGU
rnacentral:rRNA from 1 species